GACGAACGCUGGCGGCGUGCUUAACACAUGCCAGUCGAACGGAAAGGCCCUGCUUUUGUGGGGUGCCCGAGUGGCGAACGGGUGAGUAACACGUGAGUAACCUGCCCUUGACUUUGGGAUAACUUCAGGAAACUGGGGCUAAUACCGGAUAGGAGCUCCUGUUGCAUGGUGGGGGUUGGAAAGUUUCGGCGGUUGGGGAUGGACUCGCGGCUUAUCAGCUUGUUGGUGGGGUAGUGGCUUACCAAGGCUUUGACGGGUAGCCGGCCUGAGAGGGUGACCGGCCACAUUGGGACUGAGAUACGGCCCAGACUCCUACGGGAGGCAGCAGUGGGGAAUAUUGCACAAUGGGCGGAAGCCUGAUGCAGCAACGCCGCGUGCGGGAUGACGGCCUUCGGGUUGUAAACCGCUUUCGCCUGUGACGAAGCGUGAGUGACGGUAAUGGGUAAAGAAGCACCGGCUAACUACGUG
rnacentral:rRNA from 1 species